GCUGGGCAUGGUGGCCCAUGCCUGUAAUUCCAGUGACUCAGGAGGCUGGGACAGGAAGAUAGCAAGUUCAAAGCCAGCCUCAGCAACUUAGUGAGGCACUUGCAACUCAGUGAGACCCUGUCUCUA
rnacentral:sRNA from 1 species